UGCUCGAUGCAGAACGAAGGCGGCGUCCGGGGCUUGGAGGGGACGGAUUCGUGUGCGGCAGGGGCUGGGGAGGCAGAUCCGGAGGCGUUCGGCGAGACGGGGUUCGCUGGUGACGAGGAGGAAGGCCGGAGCGCCGCUUCCGGGGAGGAUCCAUAGCAUCCGCGGCUCCUGGACAGAAAGGAGACACAGAGGUGAGGGAGAGAAGAAGAGAAAAAGGAGGGGCGGUGCGGCGACCUAGGCCGGAGCUCACCGGUGCCGGACAACGGCGGACGGGCGCCACUGCUGCUGCCUGCCUGGUAUUCCUUCUCUUACCUCUUCCGCCUUAACGACAUAUGCUGCGUCGCCAAAGCCUCGGCCGCACAUCACCAGCAUGUCCGGCCUCGAGUACUCCUGCCACUGCACAUAGCCGCUCGUCACCAUGACCGGAUCCAGUAAAGCACCUCCAAUGCCCGCCCUCUCCCUCAUGGCACAUGUGCUAUUUUACUCAGAAAGGCCAUUGCUCACGUUUUGAAUUUUGGCAUCAGCUAUGUUGCCGUUUCAUCAGUUCUUUGCUGGGAGAACCUCAAUUGUUUCUUUGCUUUGGUUGUUCUUCGAUCUUAGCUCUCAGGUCUCAACAUAUGCAUUACAAUAUGUUUGUUAUCUGUAGGGAUGGAGUGAAGAAAUUGGAUUGGGGUCAUGGGAUAAAUCAACUCGAGGAUGCAACUCAUGUUCUUGUAGGUAGUCAUUCAGACAUUUCUUAACUCGGUUGCAAAAUCAGCUGCCACAGCUCUGCGCUGCCGGCCAUGGAAACCUCUCAUGUAUCCCCGCUUGUCACUUCUCUCCAGCAGCGUCUCUAUGCCAUGGCAGCGGCCCUCCCGCCCCGACGAUCGUAGUUUCUGCUCCCGAUCUGUUGUGCCUGGGCAGUCCCAGCCGCUCCUCCGUAGCAAACUUGUGCUCUUCCUUUGGCUUUCCUUCCAUAGGGUCUGCACCGCUUCAAUUUCAAUCUGCAGGACAUACGCAAGUUGUAGACAAAUCGAAUGAAAUAAUAUGCUAAGCCUUGGUCUCCAUUGCCACUUUGUCACCUUGUUGAUAUUAGAGGGAGGAUCAAAGGGGUGAUUGGUACUUUCCCUUACAGCAGGUGGUGAAAAGCAAUGAAUUUUCUCAACCAAUGAAGCUUUCUCUGUGGUGUUCAGGUUAUGAACUCCUACAAUUUCAGGUGUACUGCAAUCCAGGAAUGCAGCAGGCCAGAACAAUGGACAAUGAUGGUACUAUGAGUGGCUAGGUAUUGGCCUAUUGUGGCAAGAUGCCGGUGACUAUGAGGUGUAUAAAAUCUGGAUCUAUAAAUGACCCAGGUUGCCUUGGGGGCCAAAUGCUGCAAACGGGUCAAGGUUGGUUAUAUUUCUCCUUUGUCAUUUCUCUGGAUAAUCCUCUCUAGCAAGAUCACUUAGGACGAUAUAAUCUGCUAUUUACUUUCUAUAUGGUUUCAGUAUGAGAAGAUCACUUUAGGACAAUAUAAUCAGCUACCCAUGUGAUUUACUUCCACUGCGUUUCAGCAUGUUCAAUCUCUGUACAAGCGCGCAAAUGGACAUAUUUUGAUUUGGCGACUUGGUGUUUUAAUUGUUCUUACUGAAUACUGGAUCCUGGCACUUAUGUUAUCUACAUGUAGUAUGUUUCUAGCUCGAUGUCUACUGCUUCUCUUAAGGCCACAGUAGUUUCGAUCGACACUAUGUAUAUCUAAAUAAAAAUUUCAUUUGGAUCACAUAACAUUCUUUUUCUUGAAAAUUCACAUGGUUUAUUGGACUUGAAUUAGCAGUG
rnacentral:lncRNA from 1 species